rnacentral:rRNA from 1 species
AUUGAACGCUGGCGGCAGGCCUAACACAUGCAAGUCGAACGAGUGGCGGACGGGUGAGUAAUGUCUGGGAAACUGCCUGAUGGAGGGGGAUAACUACUGGAAACGGUAGCUAAUACCGCAUACCAUCGGAUGUGCCCAGAUGGGAUUAGCUAGUAGGUGGGGUAAAGGCUCACCUAGGCGACGAUCCCUAGCUGGUCUGAGAGGAUGACCGGCCACACUGGAACUGGGACCCGGUCCAUACUCCUACGGUAGGCAGCAGUGGGGAAUAUGGCACAAUGGGCGAAAGCCUGAUGCAGUCAUGCCGCGUGUAGGAAGACGGCCCAGGGGUUUUAAAGUACUUUCAGGCGGUAGGCUUUACCGACAGAAGAAGCACCGGCUAACUCCGUGCCAGCAGCCGCGGUAAUAC